GGCACUACGGUGCUGAAGCAACAAAUGCCCUGCUUCCAGGAAAAGCCUCUAAGCAUCAGGUAACAUCAAAUCGUACCCCAAACCGACACAGGUGGUCAGGUAGAGAAUACCAAGGCGCUUGAGAGAACUCGGGUGAAGGAACUAGGCAAAAUGGUGCCGUAACUUCGGGAGAAGGCACGCUGAUAUGUAGGUGAAGUCCCUCGCGGAUGGAGCUGAAAUCAGUCGAAGAUACCAGCUGGCUGCAACUGUUUAUUAAAAACACAGCACUGUGCAAACACGAAAGUGGACGUAUACGGUGUGACGCCUGCCCGGUGCCGGAAGGUUAAUUGAUGGGGUCAGCGCAAGCGAAGCUCUUGAUCGAAGCCCCGGUAAACGGCGGCCGUAACUAUAACGGUCCUAAGGUAGCGAAAUUCCUUGUCGGGUAAGUUCCGACCUGCACGAAUGGCGUAAUGAUGGCCAGGCUGUCUCCACCCGAGACUCAGUGAAAUUGAACUCGCUGUGAAGAUGCAGUGUACCCGCGGCAAGACGGAAAGACCCCGUGAACCUUUACUAUAGCUUGACACUGAACAUUGAGCCUUGAUGUGUAGGAUAGGUGGGAGGCUUUGAAGUGUGGACGCCAGUCUGCAUGGAGCCGACCUUGAAAUACCACCCUUUAAUGUUUGAUGUUCUAACGUGGACCCGUAAUCCGGGUUGCGGACAGUGUCUGGUGGGUAGUUUGACUGGGGCGGUCUCCUCCUAAAGAGUAACGGAGGAGCACGAAGGUUGGCUAAUCCUGGUCGGACAUCAGGAGGUUAGUGCAAUGGCAUAAGCCAGCUUGACUGCGAGCGUGACGGCGCGAGCAGGUGCGAAAGCAGGUCAUAGUGAUCCGGUGGUUCUGAAUGGAAGGGCCAUCGCUCAACGGAUAAAAGGUACUCCGGGGAUAACAGGCUGAUACCGCCCAAGAGUUCAUAUCGACGGCGGUGUUUGGCACCUCGAUGUCGGCUCAUCACAUCCUGGGGCUGAAGUAGGUCCCAAGGGUAUGGCUGUUCGCCAUUUAAAGUGGUACGCGAGCUGGGUUUAGAACGUCGUGAGACAGUUCGGUCCCUAUCUGCCGUGGGCGCUGGAGAACUGAGGGGGGCUGCUCCUAGUACGAGAGGACCGGAGUGGACGCAUCACUGGUGUUCGGGUUGUCAUGCCAAUGGCACUGCCCGGUAGCUAAAUGCGGAAGAGAUAAGUGCUGAAAGCA
rnacentral:rRNA from 1 species